rnacentral:rRNA from 1 species
AACGAACGCUGGCGGCAGGCCUAACACAUGCAAGUCGAGCGAAGCCUUCGGGCUUAGCGGCGGACGGGUGAGUAACGCGUGGGAACGUGCCCUUUGGUACGGAAUAGCCCCGGGAAACUGGGAGUAAUACCGUAUGUGGCCGAGAGACGAAAGAUUUAUCGCCAAAGGAUCGGCCCGCGUUGGAUGAGGUAGUUGGUGGGGUAAUGGCCUACCAAGCCGACGAUCCAGAGCUGGUUUGAGAGGAUGAUCAGCCACACUGGGACUGAGACACGGCCCAGACUCCUACGGGAGGCAGCAGUGGGGAAUCUUAGACAAUGGGGGAAACCCUGAUCUAGCCAUGCCGCGUGAUCGAUGAAGGCCUUAGGGUUGUAAAGAUCUUUCAGUGGGGAAGAUAAUGACUGUACCCACAGAAGAAGCCCCGGCUAACUCCGUGCCAGCCGCCGCGGUAAUAC